GGGCUUGUAGCUCAGUGGACUAGAGCACAUGGCUACGAACCAUGGGGUCGGGGGUUCGAAUCCCUCCUAGCUCA
rnacentral:tRNA from 1 species